CGCCCGGCGCCGCCAAGAUUGCCGUAACUGCCACCGCGAUGCCGAAGGGGCCCAAGCAGCAGCCGCCGGAGCCCGAGUGGAUCGGGGACGGAGAGACCACGAGCCCCACAGACAAAGUGGUGAAGAAAGGGAAGAAGGACAGGAAGACCAAAAAGACGUUCUUCGAAGAGCUGGCAGUAGAAGACAGACAAGCUGGGGAAGAAAAGAAAGUGCUCAAGGAGAAGGAGCAGCAACAGCAGCAGCAGCAGCAGCAGCAGCAAAAAAAGAAGCGAGAUGCUCGAAAAAGCCGUCGGAAAAAGGAUGUGGAUGAUGACGGAGAGGAGAAGGAGCUCAUGGAGCGUCUUAAGAAGCUCUCAGUGCCGGCCAGUGAUGAGGAGGAUGAGGCACCUGCCCCAGUACCCCGAGGAGGGAAGAAAACCAAGGUAAGCCAUCUGUGUGGUAGACAGAGACCCCAGGGGUGCAGCCUUGACCAUCCCGCUGACUUCUCUGGCCCUUUCAUUCUCCAGGGUGGUAAUGUUUUUGCAGCCCUGAUUCAGGAUCAGAGUGAGGAAGAAGAGGAAGAGGAAGAAAAACAUCCUCCUAAGCCAGCCAAGCCAGAGAAAAAUCGGAUCAAUAAGGCUGUAUCUCAGGAACAACAGCCAGGGCUCAAGGGCAAAAAGGGAAAGGAGGAGAAGUCAAAGGGGAAGGCCAAGCCUCAAAAUAAAUUUGCUGCUCUGGACAAUGACGAGGAGGAGAAUGAAGAGGAAAUAACAAAAGAAGAGGAACCACCCAAGCAAGGGAAGGAGAAGGCCAAGAAGGCAGAGCAGGGCUCAGAGGAAGAAGGAGAGGAGGAGGAGGAGGAAGGGGAGUCCAAGGCUGAUGGUCCCUUUGCUCACCUUAGCAAGAAGGAGAAGAAGAAGCUGAAGAAACAGAUGGAGUAUGAGCGCCAGGUGGCUUCAUUAAAAGCAGCCAGUGCUGCUGAAAAUGACUUCUCCGUGUCACAAGCAGAGGUGUCUUCCCGCCAGGCCAUGUUAGAAAACGCAUCUGACAUCAAGCUGGAGAAGUUCAGCAUCUCCGCCCACGGCAAGGAGCUGUUUGUCAACGCAGACCUGUACAUUGUCGCCAGCCGCCGCUAUGGAUUGGUGGGACCCAAUGGCAAGGGCAAGACCACUCUCCUCAAGCACAUCGCCAACCGAGCCCUGAGCAUCCCUCCCAACAUCGACGUGCUGCUUUGUGAACAGGAGGUGGUAGCCGAUGAGACGCCAGCCGUGCAGGCUGUUCUCCGAGCCGACACCAAGCGCUUGAAGCUGUUGGAAGAGGAGCGGCAACUUCAGGGACAGCUGGAGCAGGGUGAUGACGCGGCUGCCGAGAGGCUCGAGAAGGUGUAUGAGGAAUUGCGGGCUACCGGGGCGGCAGCUGCAGAGGCCAAAGCCCGCCGGAUCCUGGCCGGUCUGGGCUUUGACCCUGAGAUGCAGAAUCGACCCACACAGAAGUUCUCGGGGGGCUGGCGCAUGCGCGUCUCCCUUGCUAGGGCGCUAUUCAUGGAGCCCACGCUGCUGAUGUUGGAUGAGCCCACCAACCACCUGGACCUCAAUGCUGUCAUCUGGCUCAAUAACUACCUCCAAGGCUGGCGAAAGACGCUGCUCAUCGUCUCCCAUGACCAGGGCUUCCUGGAUGACGUCUGUACCGAUAUCAUCCAUCUUGAUGCCCAGCGGCUCCAUUACUACAGGGGCAAUUACAUGACCUUCAAGAAGAUGUACCAGCAGAAACAGAAGGAACUGCUGAAGCAGUAUGAGAAGCAGGAGAAAAAGCUGAAGGAGUUAAAGGCGGGCGGCAAGUCCACCAAGCAGGCAGAAAAGCAAACAAAGGAAGCCCUGACUCGAAAGCAGCAGAAGUGCCGGAGGAAAAACCAGGAUGAGGAGUCACAGGAGGCCCCCGAGCUCCUGAAGCGGCCCAGGGAGUACACUGUGCGCUUCACGUUCCCUGACCCGCCGCCGCUCAGCCCUCCGGUGCUGGGCCUGCACGGUGUGACGUUUGGCUAUGAGGGGCAGAAACCACUCUUUAAGAAUCUGGAUUUUGGCAUUGACAUGGACUCAAGGAUCUGCAUCGUGGGCCCUAACGGUGUGGGGAAGAGCACCCUGCUGCUACUGCUGACAGGCAAGCUGACGCCGACUCGUGGGGAAAUGAGGAAGAACCACCGGCUGAAAAUUGGCUUCUUCAACCAGCAGUAUGCAGAGCAGCUGCGCAUGGAGGAGACGCCCACCGAGUACUUGCAGCGGGGCUUCAACCUGCCCUACCAGGAUGCCCGCAAGUGCCUGGGCCGCUUUGGCCUGGAGAGUCACGCCCACACCAUCCAGAUCUGCAAACUCUCUGGUGGGCAGAAAGCCCGAGUUGUGUUUGCAGAGCUGUCCUGUCGGGAGCCCGAUGUCCUCAUCUUGGACGAGCCCACCAAUAACCUGGACAUAGAGUCUAUCGACGCUCUUGGGGAGGCCAUCAACGAAUACAAGGGCGCUGUGAUCGUUGUCAGCCAUGAUGCCCGACUUAUCACAGAAACCAGCUGCCAGCUGUGGGUGGUGGAGGAGCAGAGUGUUAGCCAGAUCGACGGCGACUUCGAAGACUACAAGCGGGAGGUGUUGGAGGCCCUGGGGGAAGUCAUGGUCAGCCGGCCCCGAGAAUGAGCUUUCCUUCCCGGACAUCCCCUCGUCUCCUCUCCACUCGGAAGUCUGCUCUGGUCUGCAACUGGCGCACUAGCUACUCGGAUCAGCAGUCAGCAACACCUGGGAACUUGUUAGAUAUGCAAAAUCUCGGAAUUCGUCCCAGACCUGCUGAAUCAGAAAAUUUGCUGAACCCCACCCCCAAUCUCUUUUAAAAGCCCUUCAGAUGAUUCUGAGGAACGCUGCAACUUUGGUAACCACCAUUCUCAACCUAUACCCCAAUAUCCCUACCUCCCUUUCCCUCUUCCCCCAAAAUGUAAUCUCCUAAUUUCUGAUUACAAGAAUAGCAGAGCUUCCUAUUUAAGGUUAAUCCUCUCCCUCCAUGUUCUGGACUCUAAAACCUCCUGUCUCCCCAGGAAUCUUUCUUUUUUUUAAAUAUACUUUUUUUGGCCAUGCCACACAGUUUGCAGGAUCUUAGUUCCCCAACUAAGGAUCAAAUCCAGGCCCCAGCAGUGAAAGUGCUGAGUCCUAACCACUGGAUCACCAGGGAAUUCCCACCCCUGGGAAUCUUGUUCCAUCAACUAGGUCCUCAAUACCUGUCCUUAAGGUCUAAAAAUUAUCUUGAUCCUACAUCUUCUAGCAGCAGGCCUAUUUCUCUCUACCCUGCAGAGCCCCUUUUUUGGGGGACAAGCAGGAUCCACCUAUUUUUCCUUCCUUCCCCAGAAACUGCUCUUGGAUUUUUCCUUUUUCAGGCACUCUUCCCUACUCCUCCCUUCUGCCUACCCUCAUGUAAGUCCCUUCCCUAAGCUACUCCACAGGGCUGUAAGGAUCAGCUAGAAUGGAUGUGCCUGCAGCUCAGGUGAUCUGUGAGCGCUGCCUUCCCGAGCUGUGGCGUUCUGUAUUCAAAGUACUCCUUCACCAGUAUUUCACUUAACACCAACAAAGGGUUGAAAGCUACAUUCCACAAAGGUUUGUAUUAAUGAACUUUCAACAACAGCUGAUAAUGGCUUUUUUCUUUUUAAACAGUCCAGGAACACCAGGGGUUAAAUACUUCUCUUUCCAC